CAUUUAUCCCUUUUGAUCCACUGGAUCACACAUCCACUUUGGUUGUUGAUCCUCUUGGUCAAGACAUGGACCUUCAUCACUGAUCGUCCUGAAUUCAGGCACGGAUUGCUCGUGAGAGUGGAAGCCAAUUCUAUUGAUCGACCAAUCUGCUCAUAUACCCCAGUGAUCUCAAAUCAGGCAAGACUACCCGCUGAACUUAG
rnacentral:misc_RNA from 1 species